rnacentral:tRNA from 1 species
GGGCGAUUAGUUCAGUUGGUCAGAACGCCUCGCUUACACCGAGGAGGUCGGCCGUUCGAGUCGGCCAUCGCCCA